rnacentral:rRNA from 1 species
AGGUAGGAAUACCCGCUGAACUUAAGCAUAUCAAUAAGCGGAGGAAAAGAAACCAACAGGGAUUGCCCUAGUAACGGCGAGUGAAGCGGCAACAGCUCAAAUUUGAAAUCUGGCUUCGGCCCGAGUUGUAAUUUGCAGAGGAUGUUUCUGGCGCGGUGCCUUCCGAGUUCCCUGGAACGGGACGCCACAGAGGGUGAGAGCCCCGUAUGGUUGGACACCAAGCCUGUGUGAAACUCCUUCGACGAGUCGAGUAGUUUGGGAAUGCUGCUCAAAAUGGGAGGUAAAUCUCUUCUAAAGCUAAAUACCGGCCAGAGACCGAUAGCGCACAAGUAGAGUGAUCGAAAGAUGAAAAGCACCUUGAAAAGGGGGUUAAACAGUACGUGAAAUUGUUGAAAGGGAAGCGCUUGUGACCAGACUUGCGCCGGGCGGUUCAUCCGGGGUUCUCCCCGGUGCACUCCGCCCGGCUCAGGCCAGCAUCGGUUUUCGUUGGGGGAUAAGAACGGCAGGAACGUGGCCCUCCUUCGGGUGGGUGUUAUAGCCUGCCGUACGAUACCCUGACGGGGACCGAGGUUCGCGCUCCGCAAGGAUGCUGGCGUAANGGNCNCACA